rnacentral:rRNA from 1 species
CCUACGGGUGGCAGCAGUGAGGAAUAUUGGUCAAUGGACGAAAGUCUGAACCAGCCAAGCCGCGUGCAGGAAGACGGCUCUAUGGGUUGUAAACUUCUUUUGUACAAGGGUAAACCUGAAUACGUGUAUUCAGCUGAGAGUACUGUACGAAUAAGGAUCGGCUAACUCCGUGCCAGCAGCCGCGGUAAUACGGAGGAUCCAAGCGUUAUCCGGAUUUAUUGGGUUUAAAGGGUGCGUAGGCGGAUGGAUAAGUUAGAGGUGAAAUGUCCGAGCUUAACUCGGGAACUGCCUCUAAUACUGUUGACCUAGAGAGCAGAUGCGGUAGGCGGAAUGUAUGGUGUAGCGGUGAAAUGCUUAGAGAUCAUACAGAACACCGAUUGCGAAGGCAGCUUACCAA